rnacentral:rRNA from 1 species
AGUGAACGCUGGCGGUAGGCCUAACACAUGCAAGUCGAACGGCAGCACAGUAAGAGCUUGCUCUUACGGGUGGCGAGUGGCGGACGGGUGAGGAAUACAUCGGAAUCUACUUUUUCGUGGGGAUAACGUAGGGAAACUUACGCUAAUACCGCAUACGACCUACGGGUGAAAGCAGGGGAUCUUCGGACCUUGCGCGAUUGAAUGAGCCGAUGUCGGAUUAGCUAGUUGGCGGGGUAAAGGCCCACCAAGGCGACGAUCCGUAGCUGGUCUGAGAGGAUGAUCAGCCACACUGGAACUGAGACACGGUCCAGACUCCUACGGGCGGCAGCAGUGGGGAAUAUUGGACAAUGGGCGCAAGCCUGAUCCAGCCAUACCGCGUGGGUGAAGAAGGCCUUCGGGUUGUAAAGCCCUUUUGUUGGGAAAGAAAAGAAGCAGGUUAAUACCCCGCUGUUCUGACGGUACCCAAAGAAUAAGCACCGGCUAACUUCGUG